rnacentral:lncRNA from 1 species
AAAAGAGAGAAAAGAAAAGAGACAAGAUGAAAAAAAAAGAGAAAAAAAAAUUCAGAAAAAUGAGAAAAAUUAUAAAGAAAAUAAAAAAAAUUUGUGUGAAUAAUGGAGUCAAGAAGAUGAUUGAAUUAGAGGUUUUGGGUGUGAUUUGACUGUGUUUGCACUUGUUCCCCAUUGCUCCUCUAUUUCUUUUGGUUUGUAGCUUCUGAUCCAUAUUAUAUCCUCCCUUUUCC